rnacentral:rRNA from 1 species
GACGAACGCUGGCGGCGUGCUUAACACAUGCAAGUCGAACGGACAGGCCCUGCUCUUGUGGGGUGCUCGAGUGGCGAACGGGUGAGUAACACGUGAGUAACCUGCCCUUGUCUUUGGGAUAACUUCAGGAAACUGGGGCUAAUACCGGAUAGGAUCUCCUGCUGCAUGGUGGGGGUUGGUAAGUUUCGGCGGUUGGGGCUGGACUCGCGGCUUAUGAGCUUGUUGGUGGGGUAGUGGCUUACCAAGGGUUAGACGGGUAGCCGGCCUGAGAGGGUGACCGGCCACAUUGGGACUGAGGUACGGCCCAGACUCCUACGGGAGGCAGCAGUGGGGAACAUUGCAGAAUGGGCGGAAGCCUGAUGCAGCAGCGCCGCGUGCGGGAUGACGGCUUUCGGGUUGAAAACCGCUUUCGCAGGUGACGAAGCGGGAGUGACGGUAAUGGGUAAAGAAGCAACGGCUAACUACGUG